GAAUACAACAAAUGUGUUAUGAUAAACUAUUAACAAAAACUAUAAAACAAGCUAAGUUAAGGGAAACUAGAAACAAUGGAAAUUUAAAAAUGAGUUGAUAAAAAAAUCAAUCUCUCUCUCUCUCAAAACCAAUAUGAUAAUCCAAAAGCUUAAUCAUAAAAUUAAGAAAACACAAAUUAGUCUAAUAAAAUAAUACCACGUUUUUACAGAUCUGAAACUAGUGUUCAGUUAUAUGUUUGGAAAGAAAACUAUAACAUAAAACUAAAAUGGAUAUAAGUAAAUAUAUAGUAACAUUAUAGAAAGAAAUAGGGGAAGUUAUUAAAAAACUGAUUUCAAAAGGGAAUUUCAUAACAGUAAGUUACAUGAGAAUUCCUUCCAACGUUUAAUGGCAGUUUAAUUACUGUAAGUGAUUUGUUUCUCCAAAAUGUAAGAAAGAGAUGGUUUUAGUCAAAUCAUUAAAAACAAAUCAGGUUUAUUCCUAAAGCCUAGUAAAAACAAGUCCCAGAAAUAUUUAUAUUCACAUUUAAAUAUGUAUACAUAUUAAUUGCUAAGUUACAUAUAUAAGUUAUAUAUUAUAUAUAACAUUGUUAUGGAUUGAAUGCUUCUGCCUCACAAAACUGAUACAUGAAAUCCUAACCCUCACUGGAACUGUAUUAGGAGGUGGGAGUUUUGUGAGGUAAUCAGGUCAUGAGGGUGAAGCCCUCAUGAAUGCAAUUUGUGACCUCAUAAAAGAGACCCCUGAGAGCUCUCUAGCCCCUUUCCACCAUCUGAGGACACAGUAAGAAGCCAUCAUCUAUGAACCAGGACAUGGUCCUCACUAGACACCCAAUCUUCUGGCACUGUGAUCUCAUACCUGCCAGCCUCCAGAACUAUGUACCCGUCCUAAAGAUGUUAUAUAAAUGGAAUCAUACAGCAUAAGGUCUUCGUUACUGGUUUUUUUCACAUAACAUGUUUUCAAGGUUCAUCCAUGCUGUGGCUUCCUCAGCUUUAUUAAAGGAAGUGAAGCUUGCACUAAGGGAAAGGGAAUGCCCCAGGAGAAAGAAGCAGGAACGCCGGUAGGAAGGAGCAGAUGGGCGAGCGGCUUGGAGGCAGAGUGAAGCAGGGGACACCCCGGGACAAAAGGGUGCAAGCCCAACAGAAGAGUGAACACCUGCUCCCAGAGAAACGGCAUCUCUCAAUGUGACGUCGAAGGGACCAGGAUUACAGACAUGAAUGCUAACAAUUCUGACCUCAGGUGAGGAACUAUAGAAAUGGAUGGUAGAAUGGAAACAAAUAUUAAGAAUCCAUCUACUCCUGAGUGUGUGGAACUAAAUCAAUAAAACAUUAACAGAAACCUCCGUGGUGAAAACCCCACUCUUCUAGAAUAAGAA